rnacentral:lncRNA from 1 species
GGAUAAUAUGAUUUAUGUUACGAUUGGAUUGAAGAUGAUAUUCAUAUGAUGCUAGUAUUCUAAGAAUGAUAAGUAUGUAUAUACAUGAUAUCUUAAUCCUACAAUGCUAUAUUUGUGCUUAUAUCUUUUUAUGUGAAUUUUAUCUAAUCCCCAAUGGUCGUUUGGUUGAUCGCCUCAUCAUUUAUAAAAAUGGUGUAAACGUGUAGGCUUGAGGACGUUCGUGGAGAAGUGGGUACCCGAGGCUUGCAUGGUGUACUCCUCGUUUUUCUUUAUUGCAUUGAGUCUAGUAUAAGCUCACACUAGGAUUAUUGGGAUUCUAUGCUUAAUUAUCUUUGAGAUUUAGGUUGAGACCAUAUUGUUUAUGUAUUAUGAGACCUUAGAUAGGUUGUUGAGAUUUUGUGAUUCAUGCACUUUGAAAUUCUGGAUGUAUCUGAGAUAUUUGAGAUGUUGUUUUAUUUCGCUACGAGUUUUAUGAAAACUGAAUUAUGCAUGUUUUGAGAAAAUGAAGACAUAACAUCUUGAAUUCUUUUGAAUAAUUGAUUUAUUUGCAUUAAAUAUUGCUUGUGGGGUUCAAGGGUGUUAUAGGAACAAUGGAUAUGAAACUCCUUCGACGAAUUUUUUAUCUUGCUUUGCACGAAUUCACAAAACUAGUUAGAACAAUUGAGAGGAAAGGAUAACAAGUUAUUCUGAGAGUUAGGGCCAUUGAUCAUAGGGAGGUUUACAUACCAUUGAAGUUCUGCAGUGGUCUAUCUCUUCAACUGGGGUUUAUCUCUAAUUCUUUCAAGUGAAGUUACAAAUUUUUAUCAAGUUUAAUGUAGAUUAGUAUCAUGGGAAACAGUGGAAUUGAGAAGGGGUGCUCUCAAUUCUACGGCGGUGGUUUUCAUGUAAAAGGAGUAACCAGAAUGUGACACUGUCGACUUUUGAAAAGUUACCACUCAAAGGGGAUGCCUAGGAAAAGGAGAAACAUUAAUAUGGGCAUGGAAGAGAUACAAAGAAGUUGAUCAGUCAAUGAUAGAGAUACAUGCAAAAAGUGUCACUAAUGGUCUCAUCAUUAUGCUAGGGAAAGUAGAGAUGUGUCGUUUUCUGCGGUGUAAUGGAAGCAUUGUUAGGCACUACACAAGCGGUAUCAUCAAUGUCGAAGAGCCAGUGAAAAGCUUGAAAAGGUGGGUCUCAUGCAGGCUGGACGAGGACGACCCAUCACCACUCAAAAAUCUGUCGAAUUUGACUGCUUUUGUGGUUGGGAACAGAUCAUAGACAUUGACAUAGCUCUUGUUCAUCCACAGCCAGAAUUGCUAGAUGCAGUUCGCGGUGCAAGGACCGAAGAAACCACUACCAUGAAGGUAGUUAUACCAUAUCACCUGCAGUUUGGUUCACACGGUUUGAAAACUACAUUUUGGUUUUCAGUUAAAAAAAGUUCGGUUUGGUUAAAUAACACAGAACUGGUACAUCAGACCUUUAUACUGGUUUGAAUUUACCUGAUGACACAGGCCCUUGUCAAAGUGUUGUGAAUAUUGGUUAGUUUUUCAAUCACCGGUUGGCAACUUUGAUAAUUAGGCUCUGUUUGGAUAAAAAAAACUUAAUUAAAGUGCUUAUAGUAAGUGUUGUGUAUAUGUAACAAAGAUAAAAUAAAGUCAGUUUUUUUCCAUUAAUAUAAGCUAUAUGUUGUAUUCUUAAGUUAUCCUAGAGAGUUAAUAUAUAUAAAAUGAAUAUAACUCGGACCGUUUUGAUAAACUUUCUCAAGCAGUCUUACAAGUGUUAAGUAAAUAUGCUCAAAUACGUCAACCCAUUCAGGCUCUUAGAGAAAUAAGGCAUAGUCUAUAACUAAGAU